ACGCUCGACACCUACGGGAGGCAGCAGUGGGGAAUAUUGCACAAUGGGGGAAACCCGUGAUGCAGCGAUGCCGCGUGAAGGAAGAAGUAUCUCGGUAUGUAAACUUCUAUCAGCAGGGAAGAAAAUGACGGUACCUGACUAAGAAGCCCCGGCUAACUACGUGCCAACAGCCGCGGUAAUCUGAGCGGGCUGGCAAGGC
rnacentral:rRNA from 1 species